UACAGGAACGAUUUUCUCCGGAGUACUUCCAGUUUCUCCUGGUACUGGAACAGACCUUAUUAUGUCUUCAUUUUAAAAACAUUUAAAGGUUGUGAAGACGUGUUUCAUAUUGAAGACAUUUUUUCAGAUGUCUGAUUAAUUUCAGGCAGAAUUCAGGCUUAAAAUCUAAAACCGAUUCAGAAUCCUGGUCGGUGAAGACAUUUUUUACAAAAUGUUAGACAUUUGGAAAAUAUACCUGGUAUCCCUGGCUCCGGAGCAUAAGGAAGAAAGUCUUUUCUGCAUUCGCUUUGUUGUUACUGCUAUUUGAUUUGAUAACUGAAAAUUUCAGUAUUCUCAAGCCUUAGAAAAUAAAAUACAUGCAUCAGUUGACCUGCAGCAAACAAUCCACGAAAAUAUCUGAAAGAUAAUGUUAAGAUCCGGUCGAUGCUUCAUGUGAACAGUUCAGAGAGGAAGAUAUGGCACAAGAAGAUAUGAACGACUCUGAACCCGUUGCAGUAAGCGCUGACAGUCUACAGAUAGUUUCCACCAAGGAGAAAGGCGAAACUUUGGUUCACUUGGCUUUUUAAUAUUGUAAACUUUACCUAAAAAUUGAUGGAUCGGCGUACUGAAAGAGUCGGUUCAAUAAUAACAAACGUGCAGCUAACGUUUACGUGUAUCCAGUUUCAAGAGUAAUAUCAUGCCAUUCACAAUCACGAAGAAGUGGUUGAUGGACAGGAGAAUGAACUAGACAAUUCAACGGAAGAUGAAGUUGAUCAGCAUUACAUGAUCAUUGAGGAUGUUGAGGACGAUGAUGAUCAGGAGGCAGAUGCUGACAAACAAUCUUGAAAUGAUGAUGCCUGCAGAUCAAAAGCAAGUUAAGAAAAAAUAUUAAAUAACUACCAAUGUUAAGGGUAGAGAGUAUCUAAUUUACGAGGGUCACCAGUACAGCAAAGAUAAAAAACGAGUUGAUGGUGCCGUAUUUUGGCGCUGUCUUAGAAAAUAUGACAAGUGGAGGGCGACGGCGACCGUUUUUCGUAACGGCAAAGUUGAGACAUGUGGCGAAAAUUUGCAUGAAACUGACAAACGCUAUCUUGCACGGCAAAGGCUAGGUAAUGGCAGUCGGAUGUACCGCAUAACGAACAAUCAGAAAGCAAAUGAUUCUCUGGUCUUUGAAGGUCAUCGAUUUAGCAAGGAAUGGUCUCGGAUUAACGGUUUCAUCAUCUGGCGCACAAGUGGCAUUUGGAAGAUGAAAGUUGUUCUUAACGUGGAUGGGUUCGUCCAUCAUAUGGGAGUAUCUACGAUCAUGAUCAUGAAAAAACAGAGGCACCUGUCACGGAAAAGUAUGCGGCUGAUAUAGUAAGGUAACAGAAAAUUCGUUAAUAUCGCCGGUACGUAUAGUGAAUAGAAAUUGGUCAGCCAACCUGCGCCUGUUUCGUGCCCAAAUUUCACACCUGAGCAACAGGCUGCAAGUGGUUAUCGUAUUGUUAAGAACCGUAAAGGCAAAGCGCGUGUUCGACAGGAUGGUUUGGUUAAAGGGCGGUUGAAAAUGAAUAAGAAAACAUGGCAGGAGGCCGUGAAUUUAUUCCCCGAUAGAACGGUUGCCAAGGCCAGCGAAAAAUUUAAAAUAAAUUUUAUCACUUAUUGUAGCUUAUAUUGUACUUAUUGUAGAUAGCAUUUAUUGUAGAUGAUUUCAAAUAGAGGGAACCGAGGAAUCGAUAUAAAAUUUUACACAGUAUGUAAUCUUAUCUGUGAUCUUACUGUAUGGUAGUUUUUGAAUAAUUUGUGCCCUUUGAAUAAUUAAGAAGUAUUCUUAAUUUAAGUUUCAGACAAUUCAAUCGUUGCAUUUUUACGUUAUGUUGACAAUUGCGAGUGAGGGUGUUUGAAAUACACUAAUGCUAAAUCGUUUUGCCUUUUAAAAUGCUCUAAUGAUUUCAUCAAAGAUUCUUUUUAAUUGCCUGGUGCUAGUAUACCAUUCAGGGACUAAGCGUAAUCGGUUACCACGCUCAGGCAUAAGGUUCGCUUAGUGUACGGAUAUUUUCGCCAGUGUUUAUCAGCUUUGUUAUACCUAUAGGUACUAGCCAUCGAUGAGAUCGAAACAAUCACUGAUAACCGUUUGAUGUACAAGAUUUGUUCCAGCAUGAACGCAGUCCCA